AUAAUCAGUGAUAAAUUCAGAAGAACAAAAGCAGAAACAUGUCAUCUCUUUUCUAUCACAGAGCUGCGCGUCGUUUCUCCAAACAUCAGCCUGUAUCCUGUCUGGGAAGGUCAGUUUGGAGUCUCACAGGUCAGACUCAUCUGCACCCUGAACGGUUACUUUCCCAAAAACCUGAGUGUGGAGUGGCAGCAGAACAACCAGCAGCUGACACGGAUCCAGCCCACAGAAAGACAUCUGCAGAGUGUGGAGGGGGGAGAGAAAACCUACAGUCUGACCUCUGAGAUUGAGCCAAACAUGGAAGAGUGGACAAGAGGCUCCAACUUUACCUGCAAGUUCAUUCACAAGGAGAGCAGAGAUGAAAAGACAACAAGUAUUUGUCACAUCUUUGGAUUCAAUCCUCCUUCCAUUCAUGUGGAGAUUCCCAGCUUCAAGACAGUGAUGAUGACCAACUCUGAUGUGAAAGCUACAUGCUUCAUCCACAAUGUUGAUGCCGAGCUGGUCUGGUUAAUGGAUGAGAAAACACCAUCCACUGACAAAAUCAAAAAUACCUCAAACAAAACCACAGUAGUCAGUGAACUGACAGUUCCAUCCAGCAGCUGGAAAAACCUGAAGCUUCUGAAAUGUAAAGUUCAGCAUCACUGCUUUACUGCUGAGAAGAUUGUAGAGGUUUCAGGUCCUUCCGUUCCAGCUCCUCAGGUGAACAUCAGGAGAUCUCUGUCAGACCUGCAGAAACAACACAAUGACUUCAAGCUGCACUGUGACCUUUCACAGCUCUCCUCACAGCAUAUCUAUGUCACACUUCAGUCUAAAGGAGCUGACAUUUCUGACAGACAGUAUGUUGAUCUUCCUGAAGCUCCAGCCUCACAUACAGUCAGUGUGAGCUUCUCUGUUCCUCAGUCCUACUGGAAGAGUGACCAGAGUUUCAGCUGCAAAGUCCAUCAAGGCUUUUCCAGUCAGUCUUUUGAGUCCAAAGCCAUCAGUGUUUCUGCAGAUCCAUCAGUGGAAGUCCUUCAGGUCUCCAGUAAAGAGUCAGGAAAACAGAAACUCUUGUGUUCUGGAUCAGGCUUUAAUCCACACAUUAAUUGGUUUUCAGACUCAGAGUUAAAAUCAGCAUCAAGCACAGACGUCAGCAUGGAUCCAAAUGGACGUGUGACUGUAAUCAGUCGACUGGAUGUUCUUCAGACUGAGUGGAAAACAGGGAAGACCUUCACCUGUGAAGUGUUUGAUAGGUUUCUAGAAAUAAGCGAUAAAAAAGACAUCAGCCUGUGUUCAGUCUUUGGAUUCAAUCCUCCUUCCAUUCAUGUGGAGAUUCCCAGCUUCAAGACAGUGAUGAUGACCAACUCUGAUGUGAAAGCUACAUGCUUCAUCCACAAUGUUGAUGCUGAGCUGGUCUGGUUAAUGGACGGUAAACAACCAUCCACUGACAGAGUGAAUGAAUUCUCAAACAAAACCACUGUAAUCAGUGAACUGACAGUUCCAUCCAGCAGCUGGAAAAACCUGAAGCUUCUGAAAUGUAAAGUUCAGCAUCAGUGCUUUUCUGCUGAGAAGACUGUAGAGGUUUCAGGUGAGAAGAUCAACUAUUAUCAGUGUUGUUUAACCGAAACCAGUAUAAAGGAUGUUUUUGCCUCAGUGAUCCACAUUGAACCAUCAGCCCUCCUUCUCCAGGGUUCAAAUGAACUUGUGUGUCUAGUCUUUGGCUUCAGUCCUGCAUCCAUUAACAUCACCUGGAUUCGUGAUGGAAGCACAGAGCUGUGGAACUACAAUAACAGUCAUCCCUACAGAGGCCCGGAUGGAAAGUUCUGCAUCCAAAGCUUCCUCCGUCUGUCUCCAGUUGACUCCUUACCCGGGGUGAACCUCACCUGCAGAGUGACACAUGGAAACACCACUCUGUCUGUGAAUGUCUCCAGAACAGACACGUUGGAACAAUGUCAUUUCUUUGAUGACAUCUUGCAUGUUGAUAUGAGCCAAGACACAGUCAUGCAAGCUUGGGGUGUGGCCAUUUUCUUCCUCCUCUUAUUCUUCAUCUCCAUCAUCUUUUCUGCUGUCAUCACAUCUUUGAAGAUGAAAUGAAGAGGAUGACAGAGACAUAUCCCGUUUUCUGCUGGCAUCUCAGGAUUUUUGAUGACAUUUUAGCUGUUUUAGACAAUUUUAAAGAUUUGGUAUCUUAUGUCUAUAUGUGUUUGCUU